UUUAGAGGAAGUAAAAGUCGUAACAAGGUCUCCGUUGGUGAACCAGCGGAGGGAUCAUUACCGAGUUUACAACUCCCAAACCCCUGUGAACAUACCUAUACGUUGCCUCGGCGGAUCAGCCCGCGCCCCGUAAAACGGGACGGCCCGCCCGAGGACCCCUAAACUCUGUUUUUAGUGGAACUUCUGAGUAAAACAAACAAAUAAAUCAAAACUUUCAACAACGGAUCUCUUGGUUCUGGCAUCGAUGAAGAACGCAGCAAAAUGCGAUAAGUAAUGUGAAUUGCAGAAUUCAGUGAAUCAUCGAAUCUUUGAACGCACAUUGCGCCCGCCAGUAUUCUGGCGGGCAUGCCUGUUCGAGCGUCAUUUCAACCCUCAAGCUCAGCUUGGUGUUGGGACUCGCGGUAACCCGCGUUCCCCAAAUCGAUUGGCGGUCACGUCGAGCUUCCAUAGCGUAGUAAUCAUACACCUCGUUACUGGUAAUCGUCGCGGCCACGCCGUUAAACCCCAACUUCUGAAUGUUGACCUCGGAUCAGGUAGGAAUACCCGCUGAACUUAAGCAUAUCAAUAAG
rnacentral:rRNA from 1 species